UGAGUGGUAGUUCAGUUGGUUAGGCUCUUUAUUGGAGGGCUUACCGGCCUGUCACGCCGGGGGGCGCGGGUUCGAGUCCCGUCCGCUCCGCCA
rnacentral:tRNA from 1 species